rnacentral:rRNA from 1 species
AUUGAACGCUGGCGGCAGGCUUAACACAUGCAAGUCGAACGAGUGGCGGACGGGUGCGUAAUGUCUGGGAAACUGCCUGAUGGAGGGGGAUAACUACUGGAAACGGUAGCUAAUACCGCAUACCAUCGGAUGUGCCCAGAUGGGCUUAGCUAGUAGGUGGGGUAAAGGCUCACCUAGGCGACGAUCGCUAGCUGGUCUGAGAGGAUGACCAGCCACACUGGAACUGAGACACGGUCAAGACUCCUACGGGAGGCAGCAGUGGGGAAUAUUGCACAAUGGGCGCAAGCCUGAUGCAGCCAUGCCGCGUGUAUGAAGAAGGCCUUCGGUUUGUAAAGUACUUUCAGCGGGGAGGCGUUACCCGCAGAAGAAGCACCGGCUAACUCCGUGCCAGCAGCCGCGGUAAUUC